rnacentral:tRNA from 1 species
UGGGAUAGCUCAGUUGGUAGAGCAAAGGAUUGAAAAUCCU